rnacentral:rRNA from 1 species
GUACUUGUAACACUUAGUGGCGAACGGGUGAGUAACGCGUAGACAACCUACCUUUAGAUGGGGACAACAGAUCGAAAGGUCUGCUAAUACCGAAUGUUGCAAUUUGAGCGCAUGCUCGAAUUACUAAAGAUGGCCUCUAUUUAUAAGCUAUUGCUAAAAGAUGGGUCUGCGUCUGAUUAGCUAGUUGGCGGGGUAAUGGCCCACCAAGGCAACGAUCAGUAGCCGGUCUGAGAGGAUGAACGGCCACACUGGGACUGAGACACGGCCCAGACUCCUACGGGAGGCAGCAGUGGGGAAUCUUCCGCAAUGGACGAAAGUCUGACGGAGCAACGCCGCGUGAGUGAUGAAGGUUUUCGGAUCGUAAAGCUCUGUUUUCAAGGACGAAUGUAUAGAUUGUAAAUAAUGAUUUAUAAUGACGGUACUUGACAAGAAAGCCACGGCUAACUACGUGCCAGCCGCCGC